GACGAACGCUGGCGGCGUGCUUAACACAUGCAAGUCGAACGGAAAGGCCCUGCUGUUGUGGGGUGCUCGAAUGGCGAACGGGUGAGUAACACGUGAGUAACCUGCCCUUGACUUUAGGAUAACUUCAGGAAACUGGGGCUAAUAACGGAUAGGAGCUCCUGCUGAAUGGUGGGGGUUGGAAAGGUUCGGCGGUUGGGGAUGGACUCGCGGCUUAUCAGCUUGUUGGUGGGGUAGUGGCUUACCAAGGCUUUGACGGGUAGCCGGCCUGAGAGGAUGACCGGCCACAUUGGGACUGAGAUACGGCCCAGACUCCUACGGGAGGCAGCAGUGGGGAAUAUUGCACAAUGGGCGGAAGCCUGAUGCAGCAACGCCGCGUGCGGGAUGACGGCCUUCGGGUUGUAAACCGCUUUCGCCUGUGACGAAGCGUGAGUGACGGUAAUGGGUAAAGAAGCACCGGCUAACUACGUG
rnacentral:rRNA from 1 species